UUGGAGGGCAAGUCUGGUGCCAGCAGCCGCGGUAAUUCCAGCUCCAAUAGCGUAUAUUAAAGUUGUUGCAGUUAAAAAGCUCGUAGUUGAAUUUCGGGAUCAAUUUAUUGGUCGUGCUAUUGUACGUACUGAUAUUAUUGAUUCCUACCUUCUGACGAACCAUGAUGUCAUUAAUUUGGUGUCUUGGGGAAUCAGGACUGUUACUUUGAAAAAAUUAGAGUGUUUAAAGCAGGCUCACGCUUGAAUACAUUAGCAUGGAAUAACGAAAUAGGACGUUUGAUUCUAUUUUGUUGGUUUCUAGGAUCGACGUAAUGAUUAAUAGGGAUAGUUGGGGGCAUUAGUAUUCAAUUGUCAGAGGUGAAAUUCUUGGAUUUAUUGAAGACUAACUACUGCGAAAGCAUUUGCCAAGGAUGUUUUCAUUAAUCAAGAACGAAAGUUAGGGGAUCGAAGACGGUCAGAUACCGUCGUAGUCUUAACCAUAAACUAUGCCGACUAGGGAUCGGAUGAUGUUAAUUUUUUAAUGACUCAUUCGGCGCCUUACGGGAAAC
rnacentral:rRNA from 1 species